CCUACGGGCGGCUGCAGUGGGGAAUAUUGGACAAUGGGCGAAAGCCUGAUCCAGCCAUGCCGCGUGUGUGAAGAAGGCCUUCGGGUUGUAAAGCACUUUCAGUGGGGAAGAAAGCCUUGGGGCUAAUACCCUCGAGGAAGGACAUCACCCACAGAAGAAGCACCGGCUAACUCCGUGCCAGCAGCCGCGGUAAUACGGAGGGUGCGAGCGUUAAUCGGAAUUACUGGGCGUAAAGCGCGCGUAGGCGGUCUGAUAAGCCGGUUGUGAAAGCCCCGGGCUCAACCUGGGAACGGCAUCCGGAACUGUCAGGCUAGAGUGCAGGAGAGGAAGGUAGAAUUCCCGGUGUAGCAGUGAAAUGCGUAGAGAUCGGGAGGAAUACCAGUGGCGAAGGCGGCCUUCUGGACUGACACUGACGCUGAGGUGCGAAAGCGUGGGUAGCAAACAGGAUUAGAUACCCGAGUAGUC
rnacentral:rRNA from 1 species